rnacentral:rRNA from 1 species
UAGGGGUUCUGAGAGGAAGGUCCCCCACACUGGUACUGAGACACGGACCAGACUCCUACGGGAGGCAGCAGUGAGGAAUAUUGGUCAAUGGCCGGGAGGCUGAACCAGCCAAGUCGCGUGAGGGAAGACGGCCCUACGGGUUGUAAACCUCUUUUGUCAGGGAGCAAGAGGCGGGUCGAGACCUGCUGUGAGAGUACCUGAAGAAAAAGCAUCGGCUAACUCCGUGCCAGCAGCCGCGGUAAUACGGAGGAUGCGAGCGUUAUCCGGAUUUAUUGGGUUUAAAGGGUGCGCAGGCGGAGGCACAAGUCAGCGGUAAAAUCGCGGGGCUCAACCCCGCUCCGCCGUUGAAACUGUGUCCCUUGAGUGCGCGAAGGGUAGGCGGAAUGCGUGGUGUAGCGGUGAAAUGCAUAGAUAUCACGCAGAACUCCGAUCGCGAAGGCAGCCUACCGGCGCGCAACUGACGCUCAUGCACGAAAGCGUGGGUAUCGAACAGGAUUAGAUACCCUGGUAGUCCACGCAGUA